GAUGAACGCUGGCGGCGUGCCUAAUACAUGCAAGUCGAGCGAACGGACGAGAAGCUUGCUUCUCUGAUGUUAGCGGCGGACGGGUGAGUAACACGUGGAUAACCUACCUAUAAGACUGGGAUAACUUCGGGAAACCGGAGCUAAUACCGGAUAAUAUUUUGAACCGCAUGGUUCAAAAGUGAAAGACGGUCUUGCUGUCACUUAUAGAUGGAUCCGCGCUGCAUUAGCUAGUUGGUAAGGUAACGGCUUACCAAGGCAACGAUGCAUAGCCGACCUGAGAGGGUGAUCGGCCACACUGGAACUGAGACACGGUCCAGACUCCUACGGGAGGCAGCAGUAGGGAAUCUUCCGCAAUGGGCGAAAGCCUGACGGAGCAACGCCGCGUGAGUGAUGAAGGUCUUCGGAUCGUAAAACUCUGUUAUUAGGGAAGAACAUAUGUUUAAGUAACCGUGCACAUCUUGACGGUACCUAAUCAGAAAGCCACGGCUAACUACGUG
rnacentral:rRNA from 1 species